rnacentral:rRNA from 1 species
GAUGAACGCUGGCGGCGUGCCUAAUACAUGCAAGUCGAGCGAAUGGAUUAAGAGCUUGCUCUUAUGAAGUUAGCGGCGGACGGGUGAGUAACACGUGGGUAACCUGCCCAUAAGACUGGGAUAACUCCGGGAAACCGGGGCUAAUACCGGAUAACAUUUUGAACGGCAUGGUUCGAAAUUGAAAGGCGGCUUCGGCUGUCACUUAUGGAUGGACCCGCGUCGCAUUAGCUAGUUGGUGAGGUAACGGCUCACCAAGGCAACGAUGCGUAGCCGACCUGAGAGGGUGAUCGGCCACACUGGGACUGAGACACGGCCCAGACUCCUACGGGAGGCAGCAGUAGGGAAUCUUCCGCAAUGGACGAAAGUCUGACGGAGCAACGCCGCGUGAUUGAUGAAGGCUUUCGGGUCGUAAAACUCUGUUGUUAGGGAAGAACAAGUGCUAGUUGAAUAAGCUGGCACCUUGACUGUACCUAACCAGAAAGCCACGGCUAACUACGUGCCAGCCGCCGCCGUAA